rnacentral:rRNA from 1 species
AUCCUGGCUCAGAAUGAACGCUGGCGGCGUGCUUAACACAUGCAAGUCGAACGAUGAAGACCGUGCUUGCACGGUUGGAUUAGUGGCGAACGGGUGAGUAUCACGUGAGUAACCUUCCCUUAACUCUGGGAUAAGCCCGGGAAACUGGGUCUAAUACCGGAUACGACCAGUCCUCGCAUGGGGUGCUGGUGGAAAGAUUUAUCGGUUUUGGAUGGACUCGCGGCCUAUCAGCUUGUUGGUGAGGUAAAGGCUCACCAAGGCGAUGACGGGUAGCCGGCCUGAGAGGGUGACCGGCCACACUGGGACUGAGACACGGCCCAGACUCCUACGGGAGGCAGCAGUGGGGAAUAUUGCACAAUGGGCGAAAGCCUGAUGCAGCGACGCCGCGUGCGGGAUGACGGCCUUCGGGUUGUAAACCGCUUUCAGCAGGGAAGAAGCGCAAGUGACGGUACCUGCAGAAGAAGCGCCGGCUAACUACGUGCCAGCAGCCGCGGUAAUACGUAGGGCGCGAGCGUUAUCCGGAAUUAUUGGGCGUAAAGAGCUCGUAGGCGGUUUGUCACGUCUGCUGUGAAAGCCCGGGGCUCAACCCCGGGUGUGCAGUGGGUACGGGCAGACUAGAGUGCAGUAGGGGAGACUGGAAUUCCUGGUGUAGCGGUGAAAUGCGCAGAUAUCAGGAGGAACACCGAUGGCGAAGGCAGGUCUCUGGGCUGUUACUGACGCUGAGGAGCGAAAGCAUGGGGAGCGAACAGGAUUAGAUACCCUGGUAGUCCAUGCCGUAAACGUUGGGCACUAGGUGUGGGGAACAUUCCACGUUUUCCGCGCCGUAGCUAACGCAUUAAGUGCCCCGCCUGGGGAGUACGGCCGCAAGGCUAAAACUCAAAGGAAUUGACGGGGGCCCGCACAAGCGGCGGAGCAUGCGGAUUAAUUCGAUGCAACGCGAAGAACCUUACCAAGGCUUGACAUGGACCGGACCGCUGCAGAGAUGCAGUUUCCCUUCGGGGUCGGUUCACAGGUGGUGCAUGGUUGUCGUCAGCUCGUGUCGUGAGAUGUUGGGUUAAGUCCCGCAACGAGCGCAACCCCUAUCCUAUGUUGCCAGCACGUUAUGGUGGGGACUCAUGGGAGACUGCCGGGGUCAACUCGGAGGAAGGUGGGGACGACGUCAAAUCAUCAUGCCCCUUAUGUCUUGGGCUUCACGCAUGCUACAAUGGCCGGUACAAUGGGUUGCGAUACUGUGAGGUGGAGCUAAUCCCUAAAAGCCGGUCUCAGUUCGGAUCGAAGUCUGCAACUCGACUUCGUGAAGUUGGAGUCGCUAGUAAUCGCAGAUCAGCAACGCUGCGGUGAAUACGUUCCCGGGCCUUGUACACACCGCCCGUCAAGUCACGAAAGUGGGUAACACCCGAAGCCGGUGGCCUAACCCUUGUGGGGGGAGCCGUCGAAGGUGGGACUCGCGAUUGGGACUAGGUCGUAAC